rnacentral:lncRNA from 1 species
GAAAACCCCAUAUGUAAACCUUGACGAUUGUGUUGGUAGUUGUGAAUGGAAUUUAAGCUCUCAAGUGAUAAUGAUGAAGAUAUUAUAGAUGUCUUAGAGUGUUUUGUCUUUUAUUAUAAUUAUUGUUAGAGUUUUUCACAUAUAAAGAUAAUCAUAACAUCAAUAUGUUGUUCUACACUCUUUCUCAAAAAUACUUCUUUUUUCGAGGAUUAUAUGAGCUUAC